rnacentral:tRNA from 1 species
GGGGAAGUGCCGGAACUGGCAGACGGGCUUGACUUAGGAUCAAGUGCCUUCGGGCGUGCGGGUUCAAGUCCCGCCUUCCCCA